ACCGUCUCCCUUGACCUCGUUGCCGCCGCGACGGCCCUCUCGCGCGGCAGCCGUCCGGGCACAUGGAGGAAGGCCGGGCGAGCUCCAAGCCACGGCCCCGGCAGAUAUACAAUGUAUAGUGGCCGCUGCCGGUGCGGACUCGGGCCCCCUCCUCGCCGCGCCUCCUCGCCGGGGGGCUCAUCCAAUUGCUCCUCUCCUGCGGAGCGGUUGAGGUCCGCAGACUCAUCCACCAGCGGCUGCUGCAUCCGACUCAACAAACAGCGAUUCAGGUUUGCAUAUUAUUUAGACCUUUUCUACCACUCGGCCAUCUCCUUCUCUCCAUCAUGGCUGUGAUAGGCAUAUGGACGAAGCAGCAGGCAGCAGCGGCCAUACCUGAUCCAUGGGAAUGACGGGGCUCCUCCAUGGCAUCUUGAAUUUCUUGAUUCCCUUCUUCACGGCCUUGACUAAGAUUUAUCUGUUUUCUAAUUGUACCAGCAGUUUACCUCACGCCAUAAUUGUUGCCUGUAAAGUGCUCGACAGAAUGCUCCAGUGGUGACAUGAUGUUUGGAUCUCUGAUGGCAAAGGAGCAAUUCUUUGGUAAAGUUGAAGCUGGGUUAGCAUAUUCGCUCACUGCUGCUACUUCGCCUACAAUUUCACACAUUUGAGUUCUUCCUCUCUUGCCCCUAACUGUGAAUUGGUCUUGUAAAUUGCAUUGAGACUAUAGCCUUCUGUUUUUCAGAUUUCUACAAGUUUUGUUUGUACUGCAGCUGUGUUAGUAUUGACGCCCUCCUGUGCAUUGAUUGAUUGGAUGAGAUAUUGUUGUAUGUCUUUCAGGAUUAUUGCUUCUGAAUGAGCGUGGGAAAAAGGGAGAGCUGUGGACAGAGGUGUUGUCAUAGGAGCUCGCAUGGAAUUCUCACAGCUGUGAGCCCCCUGGUGAUUUAAAGGGUUAAAGAACUGGCGGUUAGAAUAGAAGCCUCGCAGAGAAGAAAUCAUUGUAGCCAAAUGUGCUGCCACAACACUCAUCAAAACUGAUACGUGUUGAAAAAGAAUUCUUUGCUUAGUUACUGCUGCUGGUUCAUACUCUUGGUGAAAACUAUCUUUUGUUUUUUUUCUGGUUCAUUUUGUUGUCUUUGGUCCUGCAAUGUUAGAUUGCUAGUUCUGAUUCAUGGAAAACACUAUGUGAUCCAUUAUUCUGGUGUCAUGAUGUUUGAUGCAAAUAUUAUUGAUAUGAGGUUAUAAUUUGGGCUGUAAUUGCUUAUUGUGA